AACUGAGGAUUCAAAGUGUGUGGUAUCUUUUGGGGUGAGCAUUAAAAAACAAAAAUAAACGGUUACAGCACAUCUUCAGAAAGUGAGAAGGAAGGGAGGCUAGCGAAGGCGGAGGGGUUAAAUAAACUUUGGAGACAGGAAGUGGGUAAAACACAUCACCACCCAUGCAGGGGGUGGGGAGCUGUAUAGUGCAGCGCAUCUCAGGUGCGCCCCCCCCCCAUGGCGACCGCAAUUCAGGCUUAAAGGAGAGCAAGGCUCGGCUCUGGCAUAUGGUCCUGCUUGUGUUUCUUGAGGCAUUUCAGCAAUGUUAAUGAACGUGGCCAAGCUGGCUUUAGUAGGCAAGGGAGUGAGUGGGGAGGGUAAUAAUAGCAGCGGGAAGCUGGCCACUGCCAGGACCGGUGGAAAGCGUGCACACACUGCCUUGAGAGGGCAGAACUCCUGCGGCGGCAGCAGCGGCGGCAGCGCGAUGUGGACGGACCAGAGCAGAGAGAUGUAAACGCCAGAACCCCAGAGUUUGGGAAGAGUCUGAGACACGUGACCAGCGAGGAAGGGACAUCCAAGUGUACAGAGAACAUCUCAGAAGCACAAAAAAUUCCCUAACCCAUCACAUCAUGUAUGGUACAGACACUGGACCAGCCAUGACAAUAAUGUCAGAAAGGCUUAACCAAAGUGGGAGGACCCACCCUGAAUGUGGGAGGCACCAGUGAUGGACCGAGGCCUCAGACUGAAUAAAAAGAGGGAAGUGAGCUGAGCGGCCACGCCCAUCGCCGCAUCCUGACUGUGGACGCCUUGUGAUUGGCUGCCCCACAGCCCUGGCACCAGGACGUCCCUGCCGUGGUGGACAAUAUCCUCAAACUGUAACCAAAUAAACCCUUCCUUCUUUAA